AACGCAAAUUGCACUCCCUGGUAUUCCGGGGAGUAUGCCUGUUUGAGGGUCGUUAGAAUAAAAAUCGAGGCGUCGCUCUUUUUUUUAAGGGUGAUCGCGUCGGAAUUGAGCCGUCUUUCAAAUGUUAAUUCAUGUCAAAGUGGCUUAAAAUUCAUCCAUCCGGUACGAUUAAAGCGUAUUUAAGAUCAAUUUUGAUUAAGAACGCGCGAUGACGUACCAUCUCAUGUAGUACGUUUGACCUGGCGUCGUCAGGAUCAUUCGUAUACGAUACUCAAACUUUUGACCUCAAAUCAGGUAAGAAUACCCGCUGAACUUAA
rnacentral:misc_RNA from 1 species